rnacentral:rRNA from 1 species
CCUACGGGUGGCACCAGUGGGGAAUAUUGGACAAUGGGGGCAACCCUGAUCCAGCCAUGCCGCGUGUGUGAAGAAGGUCUUCGGAUUGUAAAGCACUUUAAGUUGGGAGGAAGGGGCAAAGUAACGACUUGCCUUUGACGUUACCAACAGAAUAAGCACCGGCUAACUUCGUGCCAGCAGCCGCGGUAAUACGAAGGGUGCAAGCGUUAAUCGGAAUAACUGGGCGUAAAGCGCGCGUAGGCGGUUUAUCAAGUUGGAUGUGAAAUCCCUGGGCUCAACCUAGGAACUGCAUCCAAAACUGACAGACUAGAGUACGGUAGAGGUUAGUGGAAUUUCCUGUGUAGCGGUGAAAUGCGUAGAUAUAGGAAGGAACACCAGUGGCGAAGGCGACUGACUGGACUGAUACUGACGCUGAGGUGCGAAAGCGUGGGGAGCAAACAGGAUUAGAUACCCCCGUAGUC